AGGACACGGUUGGUGUAUGUCUAAUUAGUUAUAAUAUCCUCGCACGAUUAUAGUUUCUUUAAUGUUACAUACCUCAAUUGUUACCGCUUUUCGUAAAUACAAGUUUGCAUCGGAUUCUUGGAACAUUUGCUGACCAAAGAACUCAAGAUCCUUCAGUAUCUCCUUCACAGCUACAUCACCGAUGUCGACCAGUCGGAACGAUGUUAUGUUCACAAAAUUAUACUUAAAGUCUUCCAGAUCAAAGGUUUCCAGGUCGAAGCUCGUGAAAAAGUAGUGGUAUUUAUACUCAUUCAUCUGCUGUUGUAGAAUCUGCUAACCCGAAUGAAAGAAUUUACAAUCACCUAAUGUUAGACGACCUCAGUUACACCUGAGUGUAACUCCCCCACUCACAUUCUUCAACAGCGCUGUAAUGCCGUCCGAGUUUAUAUCAAUUAUUAUAUUGUGGAUCUCUUUAUUCUUAAACUCGUUCAACACAGACAGGUACGAUGCUUGGGAAACUUUUCGCAUGUGCACUUCCGCUUGAACGGAACGUGAAAGCUGGUGUAAAUUAAUAAUUCCUGCAGAUACAAAUAUAAUAUAUAUGUACAUAUGCAUAUAUGUAUGUACAGAUGUAACAUAACAAUAAGAAACAUCGAUGUGAUUUUUGAAGCAAGAUAAAGCCAACAGGAAACGUCUACAAACCAUAUUACCAGAAUGGAGGUAAAUGUAUAUACCUACAUAUGUAUAUCUUGAAUGCAAAACAGCGAACUUACCAUAAUCUUUUUCAUACAAAAUGCCGAAUCUAGUCCAAUUUAGAUAGCGUAUAACAUCGAUAAAUGCAUUGUUAACGUAUUGUUGUGAUGGAUGGACGUUAAUGGAAAAGUCGUGGAUGGAACGACCUAUAUCUGGAAUAUCCAGGGCGUCACAUAUUGAAUUUAUAUGAGUUGCCAAAACAGAGUCGGUUGGACUAAAAAUAGCCUGAACACCAACCUGCACAAGUCUGCACACUGCAAGUAUAGUAGUUCGGAUAAAAACACGUAAUUACCUAGACAAUGUUAGUUUCUGGCAGAAGGCUCUUGUCCCGAUUCAAUCUAUGAACCGCAUAUCUAAAGGCCAGUUCCGAGUUGUGUUUUCCCGUAUGUUUUGGAAAAAGUGCACCUUGGAAAUAUGUAGCAAGUAAAAGCAAAAACUGUAAUUGCGACCAGUGGAGAUUAUUACCAACUCUUAUUACGGGGGGAGCCCCUGAGGUGUAAGUAACAAACAAAAAUGUACAUAUCGCGGCACCACUCCAAUACAUUAUAAGCGCGUAGACAGACAGUUUUGCACAAGACUAGUUCGAAAUUGCUAAUGAAUUUUUACAUUCUACGAUAAAUUGAUUUCAUUCUAACGAAGCCGUAUUAGUGCAUUCUGUACUGCAGUGCAAACGAGUAGCCACGUGUACUUGGCCACCCCACCAGCUGGUGCUCGAUUUUUACCGAUUUCUAUGGCGUUAAGCACAGUGUACGAGUGCUGCAAUGUGCUCUUCUGAUCUGCUAAAGCUAAACUGAAACUUUAAGUAGUUAUCGCGACUGUCAUUUCGAUGGCAGUUAUUGAAUGAAUCGAGAGCCGAAUUUAAAAUAUUUAUUUUCAAAUACUUAUUUUAAACAAUUUCAAGUUCGCUUUAGUUGUAGGACUUUGAUAAAACUACUCGUACACGGAUAACAGUUGAUCGCUGCACAAACAUUAAUACAUACAUAAAUAUGCAUAGACUCUACUGUGACGAUAUACCACUACCAACCUACCCAGCUCUAAACAUACACACAUAAACAUACAUAUAUUUACACAUACAUAUUUACCUCUACAACAUACUGAACUCUGUUCUUUGGUACCGCAAUUUGUAACUUCCUUCAACAUAAUUUUAGCUUUUUCUCAGCUUUUCUCCCACGAAUUUAUUUGUCUCAGAAGCACGUAACGUGUGUUAAUAAGGAGGAGUCGGGGACAAGGGGGAUAAAGAUAGAUUCAGAUACGGCUCUCAUUAUUGACAGACCUAUACAUCGUGGACAAACGUAGACUUUAAAAUUGUUUCCGAUGGAAAACAGUGACUAAGAUCCUUCCAGUCAUGAACAUUUUUGGUUUCCGUUGUUUUGUUAAAUAUUAAUGCUUCGAUCAUCGAUAAACAGUCCAUGAAGGUUGAAAUGGAAUUUCGCUCUAUUGCAUGCGAUAAUUACAGUUCAAAAUUGUUGUAUACAUUUUUACAUUAGCUGACUUUGAUAAUUUGUUACGUUAAAUUUUGAAAAGACUCUUUUUUUCUUCCAUAUAGAUAUAAAUAUAAAAUGAUCAAGCACUAGACAUCUGUUUCUUUUUUAAUUGUAUCACCAAUAUGUUUUUCCAAUUUGUAUAAAAGGUAUACAUAUGUAUGUAAUAUAGCAAAUGAGGCUAUUGAAAUGUGUGCGAAUUAAUGCCUACCUAAGCGGUUAUCAACAUCCAAUUGAGUGAAGCUCCAAUACCGAUCCACUUAAUUCUAACAAAAAUACAAAUAUAUUAAAAUAUUCGAUACAUUAUAUAUUGAUAGGAGAAUUCAUUGCCACGAAUUGCGUGUGGGUCAAUAUUCAAAGGCGGUUUUCUAAAUAACUUCAUUGAUAUUUUUAUUGUGAUCUAAUAAUGUAUAACCGAAUUAUUUCGGUGGGAAUGCUUUAAUGAAAGCAAAACCGUAAUAAGAUUAUAACUUCCUAUAAUUUAUAUAACACAGGUAUUUUUUUCUUUUCUUUUUUGAAAUACAAAAAACUCAUGAAUGGUCUCUGGAUGAUCGACAAGCACAAGGGACAUAGACUUAACACAUAUAUACACAUAUUUGUAUACAU